rnacentral:rRNA from 1 species
UGAAUAAUUUUAAAUGGCCGCAGUAUCCUAACUGUGCAAAGGUAGCAUAAUCAUUAGUCUUUUAAUUGAAGGCUGGAAUGAAUGGUUGGAUGAAAUAUUAACUGUUUCAUAAAAAUUUAUAAUAGAAUUUUAUUUUUUAGUCAAAAAGCUAAAAUAUUAUUAAAAGACGAGAAGACCCUAUAAAUCUUUAUAUUUAGAUAAUUUUAAUUAUUUAGAUAAAUUAAAUUAUAAUUAUUUUAAAUAUUUUAUUGGGGUGAUAUUAAAAUUUAAUAAACUUUUAAUUUAUAAUUAACAUAAAUUAAUGAAUUAUUGAUCCAUUUAUUAUGAUUAAAAAAUUAAGUUACUUUAGGGAUAACAGCGUAAUUUUUUUAGAGAGUUCAUAUUGAUAAAAA